UAGAGUUUGAUCAUGGCUCAGGAUGAACGCUAGCGACAGGCUUAACACAUGCAAGUCGAGGGGCAGCGGGGGUGAUGGCUUGCCAUCACCUGCCGGCGACCGGCGCACGGGUGAGUAACACGUAUGCAACCUGCCCGCCACAGGGGGAUAAGCGGAAGAAAUUCCGUCUAAUACCGCGUGACGCGGCGUCGGGGCAUCCCGGUGCCGCCAAAGGGAUUACCGGUGGCGGAUGGGCAUGCGGCGCAUUAGCUAGUCGGCGGGGUAACGGCCCACCGAGGCGACGAUGCGUAGGGGUUCUGAGAGGAAGGUCCCCCACACUGGUACUGAGACACGGACCAGACUCCUACGGGAGGCAGCAGUGAGGAAUAUUGGUCAAUGGGCGGGAGCCUGAACCAGCCAAGUCGCGUGAGGGAUGACGGUCCUACGGAUUGUAAACCUCUUUUGCCGGGGAGCAAGCGUGCGUUCGUGAACGCGCGUCGAGAGUACCCGGAGAAAAAGCAUCGGCUAACUCCGUGCCAGCAGCCGCGGUAAUACGGAGGAUGCGAGCGUUAUCCGGAUUUAUUGGGUUUAAAGGGUGCGUAGGCGGGAUGCCAAGUCAGCGGUAAAAAAGCGGUGCUCAACGCCGUCGAGCCGUUGAAACUGGCGUUCUUGAGUGGGCGAGAAGUAUGCGGAAUGCGUGGUGUAGCGGUGAAAUGCAUAGAUAUCACGCAGAACUCCGAUUGCGAAGGCAGCAUACCGGCGCCCUACUGACGCUGAGGCACGAAAGCGUGGGUAUCGAACAGGAUUAGAUACCCUGGUAGUCCACGCAGUAAACGAUGAAUGCUAACUGUCCGGUGCGAGUGAACGCUGGGCGGUACAGCGAAAGCGUUAAGCAUUCCACCUGGGGAGUACGCCGGCAACGGU
rnacentral:rRNA from 1 species